rnacentral:rRNA from 1 species
AAACUCAAAGGAAUUGACGGGGAGCACCACAACGGGUGGAGCUUGCGGUUUAAUUGGAUUCAACGCCGGAAAUCUUACCGGGACCGACAGCAAUAUGAAGGCCAGGCUGAAGACUUUGCCGGAUUAGCUGAGAGGUGGUGCAUGGCCGUCGUCAGUUCGUACUGUGAAGCAUCCUGUUAAGUCAGGCAACGAGCGAGACCCACGCCCACAGUUGCCAGCGUACUCUCUGGAGUGACGGGUACACUGUGGGGACCGCCGCUGCUAAAGCGGAGGAAGGAAUGGGCAACGGUAGGUCAGUACGCCCCGAAUAUCCCGGGCUACACGCGAGCUACAAUGGUUGGUACAAUGGGUAUCUACCCCGAAAGGGGACGGGAAUCUCCUAAAACCAAUCUUAGUUCGGAUUGAGGGCUGCAACUCGCCCUCAUGAAGCUGGAAUCCGUAGUAAUCGCGUUUCAACAGAACGCGGUGAAUACGUCCCUGCUCCUU